GUAAAAAAAAGUUGUUCAGGUUAUAAAGCAAGUAUGAUUAAACAGCCUGUAAUAGUAGACGUUGGCACUACCAAGCAUGAAAGCGGUAGAAGGAAACCAGCGGUUGGUGCUCGUCCAAGAUCGAGGUCAGUCGGGAAAACGAAGUUGGAAAGCAAAUCUGUUAAACAGCCAUUUAAACCUUAUAUUACAGUAGACGAUGAGACACUUGAUGGGGAUUCACUAUCCCGAAAGCACUCUGCCACCAACAGUCAAGUUAAAAAAUUCAUUUCGCUUCCAUCUUCCACUGUAAUGGAUGAUGCUAGUGGUCUUGCCCCUACAAUGGAGAACAGCAUUUAUGAUAGCAAAUAUCGACGUCUUAGGACUACCUCGUUCACUGCGUACAAGAGCAAUACUAUUUUGCAUAAAACUACUUCCUCCAGAUUAUCCACUGCAGUGGAUGCUGGUGUUAAUAGACAUUUCGAACCUAAAGUCUCACAAUACAAGAUUGGCGAUAUUCAGUCGUAUAAACUGCUUGACGACCUCGACAUCACCGAUGAAGAGGCAAUGGAUACUGAAGAUAGUGAGGCUGCAGAUGAUCCUGAUGAGAAUGAUGAUGCUGCUGAGCCGCCAUCGAGUACCGGAGAUGCAGAAGGAGAAGCGACAGGCAACGCAGAAGGAGAAGCGACAGGCAAUCCAGAGGAUGUUACAGACGAACAAAAUGAAAACGAAGAUGGACAACCUGGUCCUCCAUCUGGCGAUAAGUCUGUGGCAAGUGAUUCUGUAGAAGAUGGAGAAACAGCUGGUCAUAUAGUACUAGUACAGUUUCUGCUUCUGGCUUUUGUGUGUAAAGCAGUUUCCUUAUUCUUCCAGCAACACAAAUGCACUUGCUGACUGUGAAUCUACGACAACCUACCAAAUGGAAUAUCGAACAAAUGCUGCAUACCUGUAAAUCUCACAUGUCCUUCAAUAAACAUCUUAUCUAUGGGAAAUACAUUAAUGGAUAGUCUGCAUUCAGUAUACAUGUGAAUAAUGGAUUCCAAGCAGAAGCACUGAGUUUUUGAUGAAGAUGUGGUGAAACCUGUCUGACAUGCAUACGAAGGUGACAGCAUUGACCAGACCAGUGAGAACAGGUGGAUGAAAAUGUAUACAGCCAGAUUGAAUCCAAUUGUGGGCUGGAUGUGGCCCACGGGCUGCCAACUACCCACCCAUGGCGUAUUUGGCACCACUGAAAAUGAAGUGAG